AGAGUUUGAUCCUGGCUCAGAUUGAACGCUGGCGGCAUGCUUUACACAUGCAAGUCGAACGGUAACAGGGAGCUUGCUCCGCUGACGAGUGGCGAACGGGUGAGUAAUGCAUCGGAACGUGCCUAUUUGUGGGGGAUAACGUAGCGAAAGUUACGCUAAUACCGCAUACGCCCUGAGGGGGAAAGCGGGGGAUUCGUAAGAACCUCGCGCAAUUAGAGCGGCCGAUGUCGGAUUAGCUAGUUGGUGGGGUAAAGGCUCACCAAGGCGACGAUCCGUAGCGGGUCUGAGAGGAUGAUCCGCCACACUGGGACUGAGACACGGCCCAGACUCCUACGGGAGGCAGCAGUGGGGAAUUUUGGACAAUGGGCGAAAGCCUGAUCCAGCCAUGCCGCGUGAGUGAAGAAGGCCUUCGGGUUGAAGGAGCUCUUUCAGCCGGAAAGAAAUCGCGCAGGCUAAUACU
rnacentral:rRNA from 1 species